CUACACUAGUGGUGGUAAGUAGAAGCUGCAAUGAAAGGUGAAACCAAAAUGUUUUGAUGCUGGGGGCUUUGAUCCUUCCUGCUUUUUUAGGAUCUCUCAUAUCUGAAGCCCUCAAUUGAGUUCUGAGAAACUUCUGGGAGGAAGGAUGGUCUUAAAGUGUUUUCAUUCCUUUUUUGCUUCUGCAGUUUUUUUCCCACAGAAGGGCGUAUUCAGAUUCCUAAAGAAGGCUUUGAAAAGGAUCCAGAGAGGCAAUCACAUGCAUGUGCAGCUAUUUUUUUCACAGGCAAGAAUAUAUGGAAUGUGAAUGGAGUUUCAGCAUAGCUCUGUGAGUGUUUUUGGCCAAAUGAGUAAUUGGACAGAAUCUUUUUUAUUAUUUAAUGAAGGAAUUACAACAGAGAAGAAUGACUGAAUUGCAAGCACCUACUACUUCUGUCUACUAAGCCAAAGAAGAAAGCUGGUGACAAACUUAAGCUUUAAUUUUCCAGAUGCAUUUAUUUCUGAAAAUCCAAUGUUUUUCUUCUUACCCAGUUUCUUUUUCUAACACGGAUUAGACUGUUAUAUCUCAUCUUCACUAAAUAUUGGAGAAAAUCCAAAGCCACCCACUGGAUGCCAAAAGAAAUCCAAAUGGGAAGUUAUUGAUAUGAUAAAACAAAGACAAGAAGAAUGAAUAUGCAGGAAGUAAUUAAUUUUAUUUCUAAAAGGGAAAAUAGACAAUAUUCAGGAGAGAGUUGUCGAGAUCUUCCAGCUACAGAGGAAAUGCUCUUACCAGGCUUAUAGUAGAAACAAGUAUAAACAAUUCUACACAAAGUUGAAAGUGGUGGAGGAGUAAGCUUGUCUUUUAACCCCUUCAGGCAAGCUAACAUCAAGAAUAAGAACUCUUCAAACUUGUGAAUGAAAAAAGAAGCAUUAUAAACAAAAUUAAAAUGGCUUGGAGAAUAUCCUUCAUGAAUUAUCAUAUGGCAGCUUUUAUCCUCUCCCACUAAAAAAAAAUAAAGGAAAUGAAGGAAUAAUUCCAAAUAGAAUAUUGACAAGUGAGAGGGGAGGGUAGUUCUGAAGAGAAAAUAAGUAGAAUUAAAGGUAAGAAACAAACAAAAAAACCUCUUUGUUUUCUGACAUAUUGAGCAACAAUAGCUCAUUGUAAAAUAUCUUAGAAUCAUAGAAGCAUAAAGAUUGGGAAAGACCUAUAAGAAUAUCAAGUCCAGCUGUCAACCCAUCACCACCACGUCCAUUAAACCAUGCCUGAAUAGUCUUGUUUCCUGACUGGAAGGAAAUAAUUGUUAACUGCACAGAACAAAACAACUCUUCCAAUGCAGCAGUUCUAAUUAGAAGUGAUCAGGUAAUGAAUUAGAUGCAGAAGCAAACAAGCUGUGGAGAAUUCAAAUGAGUUAUUUUCUCAUCUGGAUUCAAACUGAUCAACAGCUAAAUGAAAAUGUGGCAGCCGAAGCCAAUUGCAUAAGCAUGGAGCCCUCAGUAUAUAAAAAUAACAUAUAUGAGGGAUAUUUGCAUAGUGUUUCAAGGCAUCUGUGUCCCCUCCUGAGCUAGAGGACCUGAAGGUGGGCAGUGCUGGAUCAGUAGCUAUGGAUCUCUGGACUGACAGAGAGAAUUAAAGGAUGUACUUUUAAAGAAUACAUUCUCUUUAUCUGUUUGCUGCUGCUAAAGCUGCUGUCAGCCUCUGACAGAUGGUGAAGUUUUCCUUGCCAGUGUAAAGCUUAGGACAGUCACAGCUAGUCUGCAGGCAGCAUGUGGCCUGUCCAUGGGCCACCCCCUGCCCUGUGCCAUCAUGACAGUGGCUUUUCCCACUGAAUGACCUGGCCUGUCCCUGGGUGCACACCCAUUGCUCAGCAACAAUCAAACAUCUGUGCGCUAUUAAUGCUGACUGGACUGAAACCAGGGUGUGGGGUGGGUGUGUUGCAGUGCUAACUCAAGUUAUGGCAAAUAAUUGUAUGCAUUUUUAUACACUGGCUAAAGACAGUCCUGUGAACACUGAAAAAUAUGCAGCUGUGCUUUCUGUUUUGAUAAAAGAAUUUGAUAAUAGGUUUCAAAAAUCAUUAAUUUUUUUGGUAUAUCUGUGAGUCUAUUUUCUGUUGACAUAAAUAGAUAACCUGCAAAUUUUCAAAGAGAAUGUAUGGAGUUGCAAUCAGACACACACCUCAAAGAAAAAAUCUUAUCGUGUCUCUCUACUACUAUUCUAUAAGCUCUCUCUUACCAGAAAAAGAUAUUCCUCAUCUCACAGUCAUGUCAUUGCUUUUGGGCAGUAUGUAAAUUUGUGAACAACUGUUUUCAAGGAUGAAGCACAGGAAGAGUAGAAUUUCACCAAAAAUAUCUGACAAACACCUUGAGAACUCACUAGGAAUUACAAUCACUUCAAACAAACCAGAUAUUGAUACAUUGGUUUCAUGAAAACAAUGUCAAUCAUUCCACUGGUUUUAUGGUUUUGUUGCUCUCUUUAUGCUUUAAUAAAAAGUAUAAAAGAAGAAGCUUUGUUGCAUACAUA